AGCAGUAUUGAACUGAAGAGUUUGAUCAUGGCUCAGAUUGAACGCUGGCGGCAGGCCUAACACAUGCAAGUCGAGCGGAUGAAGGGAGCUUGCUCCUGGAUUCAGCGGCGGACGGGUGAGUAAUGCCUAGGAAUCUGCCUGGUAGUGGGGGAUAACGUCCGGAAACGGGCGCUAAUACC
rnacentral:rRNA from 1 species